GCAAUUGUAGCUAAAGAUAUAGCAUCGGUCUUGUAAGCCGAAGGCUGGGAUUAACUAACCCCUAUUGCU
rnacentral:tRNA from 1 species